UAUUACGGUUAAAGUGUUAUCCUUGCGUAGCAUGUGAUGUCUAGUGAAUUCAUAUGAUAUAUGCAGUUUAGUUUAGCGCGAGGUGUUGAUCACGUGACAUUUCUAUUGGUGAACUCGUGUUCAUUCAGUAAGUAGCUGAAGAAGGACGAAGGUGUGUCAGUAGCAGGUACAAUGACGAAGACAAAACGAAGAAAAGGAAAGUCUUGAGAGCAAGAGACAUUCCUACAGCAUCGUGAGUGUUCCAACCCAUGCAUAUGUAAUCUGCCUGUCUGUUCACAUGUCAUCUUCAUUUACCUCCAGAACUGCAUGGUCAAAGAGGUAGACAUGAAGAGAAAAAGGAUUAUAUGACUAUCUAUGGACUCCAUGAUAGAUACCUAUGGAGGCAGGCCAACUGACACAGAAACUCUGCAAUUGACUGGGACACUGAUGGCAUUGUAUCCGAUAUUGAGGGAUAAUACAAACAAUGGAAUCUGGGAGAAAUUUGUAAUUGGGCACUUAGAUCCGAUAGAAAAUAAUGAUCAAGAAAAAUAAGCAGAGGAAGUGGGGACAGAUGGUGUGGAAAAAAGAAAUAUCACUCAAUUAAGACCAGUAAUUCGGCAUCUGUUAGGCAGUUGCCGAGGCUCACCUUGGAGGAAUGAGUCCUGAACUUACCAGAUAUGUCAGAGAAAAGCAGAUCUCAGAAGCUGCGGAAGAUAUACCCAUUAUUCAUAAAACCAGAAUUUAUUGACGACACUGGGUGGAAUGUAGCUCAGGAGCAUAAAGGCCUAGCAGACAGGACUAGGAAAAUAAGAGACAAAAUGGCGUUCCUUUUGUUCAUCAAGGACAAAGUGCUGCUGAAGUGCUCCCCAGCUGGCUGAGCUGAGGUCAUACUGUCAUGGAGUCGUACUGUUUGGUGGAUGAGGCAUAUCUAUAAGUAACCUAAAUCGAUCCUUGCUGUUCAACAGAAGUUGCAAGAACUUAUCCAUGACAACACUAAACAAAGCAAUGAAGUCAUACCAGUCAUUCAUAGAUGCUGUGCCGGAGGAAAAUAUAUUCUAGAACCAGAUUUUUGCUAUCUUCCCAGUAAGUGUCACAGAAAUAAACAUGUUGUGACAGGAUUUUAGUGGUUCAAUAUUGAAAUGAAAAUGACAAAAGAAUAUUUAAAAAAAUGAGGAAAUCAUUUUAUGCUACUACAUGCUGAGAAUAGAAAACGAAAAGGCCAACUUUUUAGCUCACCUGUCAGUGACAGGGCGAGCUUUUGCGAUUGCCCAUCGUCCGUCCAUCCGUCCAGUUAGCUCUGUUCAGUUUUAUUUCCGAGAGUAUACAUACAUAGCUCUGUUCAGUUUUAUUUCCAAGAGUAAACAUGUAGCUCUGUUCAGUUUUAUUUUUGAGAGUAUACAUAUAGCUCUGUUCAGUUUUAUUUCCGAGAGUAUACAUAUAGUUCUGUUCAGUUUUAUUUUUGAGUGUGUAAAUAUAGCUCUGUUCAAUUUUAUUUCCAAGAGUGUAAAUAAAGCUCUGUUCAGUUUUAUUUCUGAGUAUAUAAAUGUAGCUCUGUUCAGUUACAUUUCAGAGAGUGUAAAUAUAUAUCUGUUCAUAGUUUUAUUUCUGAGAGUGUAUACAAUUUUAUGAUGUAUGUGUGUUCAGUUGCAAGAAAGAAAAUGUUCAGCAUUUACUAUAGUUCAUGUGUGGCCGAGUUGUAAUGGUCUAUGACAUUGGAACACUCGAGUACCCUUUCCUUCAGAUGGAUGCAGAAUUCUUUCAUGUGAGGAAGACAAAAGUUUGAUGGUUGUACCCAGGUCUUCUUUAUGCACCCAUGUAAAUUUGAAAUGCCACUACUUUGUUGUUUUGCAGGUUGAAACUUUUAACAUGUCAAAUCGGAUGUACUUCAUACUUGUUAUAUAUACUUUUUGCCGUUGUGAUGAAAAUAUUGCAUUGUUUUUGUGUGUUUUGUCUAUUAUGAUUGCAGUAAGUAAACUUUAAACAUUA
rnacentral:lncRNA from 1 species